rnacentral:rRNA from 1 species
GACGAACGCUGGCGGCGUGCCUAAUACAUGCAAGUAGGACGCAGUUGCGAACGGGUGAGUAACGCGUAGGUCACUAACUGUGAGAGGGGGAUAACUAUUGGAAACGAUAGCUAAUACCGCAUACUAGUAGAUGGACCUGCGUUGUAUUAGCUAGUAGGGCGGGUAAUGGCCUACCUAGGCAACGAUACAUAGCCGACCUGAGAGGGUGAACGGCCACCCUGGUACUGGCACACGGCCACGACUCCUACGGGAUGCAGCAGUAGGGAAUUAUCGGCAAUGGGGGGAACCCUGACCGAGGAACGGCGCGUUAUUGAAGGAGGUUUUCGGAUUGGAAAGCUACGUUGUUAAGGAAGCGGUACUUAACCAGAAAGGGACGGCUAACUCCGUGCCAGCAGCCGCGGUAAUUC